UAGUUUCAAAAAAUUCAAUGUGAUUUAUUAGUCUAUGAGCCUUCAGAAAUCAAAAUUUGGCCUUAACAUACUUAUCAUCUCAACGAUGAGGAAUUUGUGAAUUUCUUCAACUUAAUGUCCUUUACGCAAGGGAUUUUUACCAAUUCUGAUAAAAUGGCCAAAAGGUGAUUAUUAAAGGCUCAUAUUCUAAUGCGUAAAAACUGUUCCAUCAUUCUCAAUGCCGUCACACAAAAAGGAUCGAAUCCUACCUUACCUUGUGCACUACCCCUUUGGAUGGUACACAAAAUAUAAACAUGCAAAUCUCAUUGGAUUAUAUAUCCGAGACAAAAGGUGGUUUAUUCCUAUAACGGGAUUCCCUAAAUGGCAUUCCCUUCUAAGGUGGAUGCAUGAUGCCAAUUUAUUAAAGCAAUUAAAUAUGCAAUGAAAUAAUUGAAAUAUGACCUAAAAGUGCCCCAUUUAAAACGCCGGUGUAAGCCUAAAAUGAUGUGCAACUGUUAAUCUAUGAAUGCACUAUUCAAAAUCUUUUAAACGUGCAAUAGCCUAUUUACAAGGGUAGGUUCUAAAAGAGGAUCAUGCAAGACCUCUUAUUUUCCUAAUGUUUGUGAAUGCAAUGGAGACAAAAAUCAAGAAAAAUUAGUUCAAUCAGAUAAAUACACAUAACACAUUGUAGCAAAGCAAUACACAAAGAUAAAACAAUAAAAGGAAAAGAGGGGUUGGAUCCCUCCCCUCGUGAAUAGUGUCCCUAAUAGGGUAAGACAAACUCUACCCUAGGUAAACUAUUAUGGAUGCAUGAGAUAUUGGCUCACUAAUGCAUCUAGACUCGAUGGGUUUUAAGGUCCCCGAGCCUUCAGACUUAGAAACCAAAGGUCAUCAACCCCGAGGUUCUUUGUCGGUGGCUCGAGCGAUUCCCCAGACAUUGCUACGCGCACGUCGUGCCACGGCCACAUGUCCAAGUGAAUCUAUCAAAAAUCCUCAAUCUUCGACUAAAAGCUAAAGGUCAUCAACCCAAAGCUUAAAAUGGAAGAUUGAGUGACCCCUCGGAUCAUGCUACGCACACGUCGUGUCGCGAUCACACGUCCAAGUGGGUCGCCUAAUCCUAACAGGGAAGAGUGGCGUGACAAGCCACUAAAAGAAAAAUAAAUGAGGGACAAAAGAUAAAACGUAUGCACGUAUGCUAGUGCUUGGUUUGGAGGGGAAGGAUCGAGAACCAAUGCGAGGCUCUAGGGUAAUAUUCCCCACCCCCCAAAUGCAAAGCGCGAAACAAAAGUAAAUAAAUAAAUCAUUCAUCACAUACACGUAAGACGAGGAACAAUUACGAGUGUGAAAUGCAAAACAUCCUAAAAAAGAAAAAUGCAACCUAAAACAUCCAAAUAUGAUGAAUAAAAAGGAUUAAAAAAAGAAAAGACAACUAAACCAAAUGCUUGGACUCUCUAGCGUCCCCAGUGGAGUCGCCAAGUUGUCGCGCCCCAUUUUUCGCGAUGGAAAAGAAAGUAAAUAAGAAGGUGUUUAUAAAAAGAUGUGAUUUAUUAAUAAUAGAUAAAAAAAGGACCUAGAAUGGGACUUAAAAAGAAUGCGACAAUUUGGGUCCAAAAUUUAGUCUAAAAGGGUUUUUAAGAAAAAAUAGGAGUCGCCACUUGGUAUGGGGUUUUGGUGUACCAAGUCACCCAAAAAAUAUUUUUGACAAAAAUAAAAUAAAACCCUUUUCGACAACUCCAGGUCUUUGAAAACAGAGAAAAUGAGUUCGGGAGUCACGGUUGAAGAAAGGGAAGGCAAAGGUUCAAUUAAUUCAAACCUAAGGCACCCUUUCAACCUAAUCUAAGCUAGUUGCGAGGUUUAGCCAAAAUUUUCCUAAUCUAACCCUUGAUUUUAUCAUAUUUGGAUGUUUCUUACAUAGAUGCAAACCUAAAUUUAUAAAAUAUCGAAAAGAUCAAAAUGUUCAUUCAAGGGUUUAAUUGAACCAAUCACAUUAAUUGCGAAGGCCAAAAUAAUUCCUUGAAGGUGUCACGAGUAUGCAAAUGAUGAAAUUAAAAGAAAAGAAACGAAAAUUAAAUUAUAUACAUAAGGUAUAAGUGAGCAAAGAAAAAUGAAUGCAAGCAUAACGGGUAUGGGGGACAAAAAUUCGUGACAUGAUUUUCUUAUGUAGGGAUUAAUGGAGUAUUUAAACUAAAAAGUUAUAAUCACCCCAUUUCCCAUAUUUAAAGAAUAAUUCUCCUAAUAUGAACAGGCAAAUGAACUAAUUUAAAUGAAAUGCAAUUCUAAAUGACAUGAUUAACACAUAUAGAGGAUAUGGGGUAAUGUACAAGGGAAUAUUAUACAAUAUGAGAAAAAUCCUAAAGAUAAAAAAAUAUGCAUGAAAAUGUAAUGAAUAUCACACAAAAUGAAUCUAGCGCAAGUCGGCCUAGAGGGUCUAGCAUUGGACUAACCCAUUUCUAAAAAUCCUUACUAGCAUUGGACUAGCAAGUAAAUAGAGGAAAAAGUCACAACUAGCGUUGGACUAGUAUGAUGACGUCAUGCAUUAACAAUUCAUAGUGAAACAAAUAAAACAUAAAUUAAAACAAAUAAAACAUAAAUUAAAACAAAUAAACACAUAAGAGCACGUAACACAUAACACGUAGACAUAAUAUCUAGAUGCCAAAAUCCUAAGAAAAGCGGACAAAACACAUAAACAUAUACCUAACCUAUCCGAACCAACCCAUUUUUAUGAAUUCUAUUUUUUGUAAACUCUUUUCCCAUAAAUUGUUAAAGCUUCCAUAAAAGCUAGACUGAGCAAUAGAGUACCUCGUAUUUUUCCCUCUGCCUCGGGCUGUCUCGCGAUACCCUCUACGGCUUGACCCGCAGCAGUUCCUUGACCAACUCCGGGUGAUUCGAUUAAGGUCUAAAUAAUCAGGAAUCCUAUUUUUUUUUUACCAUAAAAAUCCGAACUAAAGAAUUUGUACCUCACCCGAUCAUUCGUUACUGAGAGUGACGCUGAGACUCACCAACAGGAAAUUAAAUUGUCAAGAAGGGGAGGUAGAAAGGUGCGCGGUGGACGCUGAGACUCACCAACAGGAAAUUAAAUUGAUGCGCGGAGGGACGCGAUUACGCUCCAACAGAAAAUUAAAUUUGUCAAGAAGGGGGAUAGAAGGGUGCGCGGUGGACGCUGAGACUCACCAACAUGAAUUUAAAUUGUCAAGAAGGGGAGGUAGAAAGGUGCGCGGUGGACGCUGAGACUCACCAACAGGAAAUUAAAUUGAUGCGCGGAGGGACGCGAUUACGCUCCAACAGAAAAUUAAAUUUGUCAAGAAGGGGGAUAGAAGGGUGCGCGGUGGACGCUGAGACUCACCAACAUGAAUUUAAAUUGUCAAGAAGGGGAGGUAGAAAGGUGCGCGGUGGACGCUGAGACUCACCAACAGGAAAUUAAAUUGAUGCGCGGAGGGACGCGAUUACGCUCCAACAGAAAAUUAAAUUUGUCAAGAAGGGGGAUAGAAGGGUGCGCGGUGGACGCUGAGACUCACCAACAUGAAUUUAAAUUGAUGCGCGGAGGGACGCGAUUACGCUCCAAUAGACAAUUAAAUUGAUGCGCGGAGGGACGCGAUUACGCUCCAACAGAAAAUUAAAUUUGUCAAGAAGGGGGAUAGAAGGGUGCGCGGUGGACGUUGAGACUCACCAACAUGAAUUUAAAUUGUCAAGAAGGGGAGGUAGAAGGGUGCGCGGUGGACGCUGAGACUCACCAACAGGAAAUUAAAUUGGAUCUUCUUGAUUGAUGAUUUUUUUUUUUUUUUUAAAAAAAACAGAUUGGUGGGAUUGACCCGAGCCCAAUUAAACACUGAAAGAAAUGAAAAUGCAAGUUCAAUAUUAUCAAACUGAAUGAUUAAAAUGCACGUUGCUCAAGUUGGUGGAUUUGCAAUCUCUCUUUUUUUUUCCAAAUUUUAGAAGAAAUGAAAGAAACACACCUUUUUGUUUUUUUUUGUUUUUUUUUUUUGAAAAAAAAUCAAAGGUGACGAAUUCUAAAACUUGAAAAAUACCAAUGACAACUCUCCUUUCAAGAGAUUUGAGAGGUACAUACAUAUGUCACUGUCCUCUCGAUUUUAAAAGACCCCUUUUUUUUUCACAAAGCCGAUUUAAAAUGCAUUACCAAAAUUGGAGCUCAUUCCUCUGAUAUUUGCCCCAGUGUAAAUCAUGUUUAACGAAAGCCACAUUUUUCAUGCUUUCGAAAAAGCAAAAAGAGUGAUCAUAUGAUACCAAUACCAUGUGAUUCCUUGUGCUCCUUUUGGCCCUGAGAACCAUGCAAGCAUGAUCUUUCGAUGUCAAAAUUGCUCCUCAAGAGUUGUGCUGCAACUUGUUUUGAAUCUUCUCAAUUUUCCAGCAUCAGUCAGCCAUACCUCACUUUGUACCACAAAUCCACUUUUCUAAUGACCAGAUUUGAAUGAAUGGCCAGUAUCUCAAGUGUCAGCAACCCGCUUUUCGUUCAUGAUUCUCUUGUGCUCCAAAAUCUCACCUUGAUGACCUUAACCAUUUCGGAUUUUCCUUAAGGUCACCCCCAUUUUCUUUUCCUUUUUCUAUUUCUUCUUCUUUUUUUUCAUUUUUCAUUUUUUUUUCUUUUUGAAAAGACACCCAUUCGGGUUUUCACUCAAUGAACAAAUUUUGUCAACAACCUUUAUCAACUCAAGAAUAUGUUUUAAGAAAUAAUGGCAUCAGUGCGACAAUCCUUCCCAUGCAAAAUUGGUGAAGGUGUAUUGACAUCAUUUGCCAUUUGAUUAAGUGAUUUUUUUUAGAGAUACUACUAAGGCGGAGGUCGGGACUUCAUGAUUUUUUAUGAUGGGGUCAGGUGGGGUGUGGAAGAAAUGUUAAGGCUUGAGAGCAAAAUCCUCAAAGAGGUUUCAAAAAUCCUAAGACCGCAUUCUAUCAAUAUUUGCCCCAGUAUGAGGGUAUUAAAACUGAAAAAAUUGCCCCAGUUUGGCUUUUGAAUCUAUUUUCCUUUUCAUUUUCCUUCUCUUUUUUAUGACAAAUAGGAGAUAAAAUUUGCCCUGGUGUGGGAUUUGCAAUCUUUAGGGGGCUAUCAAAAAGAAUGAUUAAGUUAUUCUGAAGGUUCAAAGGGAAAAAUCAAGGGUGAGAGAUUCAAAGAGAAAAGAAGAAGGUUCGCCUUUAAUCCACCCUAGAUGGUAUCUCAAAAAGAAAAAUCACCUAAUCAGAUAAAGAAUUUCUUACACAUGUCUGAAUUGAUUGGCAGAGAAAAAACCUGUCCAUCCAGUUCUGUGAGAAUGGGUGUUCCUCCGGAUAGCACUCUUUGAACAAUAAAUGGCCCUUGCCAAGUUGGAGCAAACUUUUCUUUAACCUCCUCUUGAAUCGGAAGAAUUUACUUCAAAACCUUAUCCCUCACUUCAAAUAAGCGAGAUUUGUCUUUCUUGUCAUAACUAACGAACCAUCCUUUGAUGAUAGCAUUGUCCAUGACAAACAUUCAACUUCUUUUUCAUCAAUUAGAGACAGCAACUCAUUGUGCUCCUUAAUCCAUUCGAUUUCUUCUGCCUGAGCCUUUGUCAAAAUGUGCAAGGACGGAAUCUCGGUUUUGGCAUGUAUUACCACUUCCAUUACAGCAUAAGAGGGCAAGGUGUUACCCCAACUUAGAAAUGUAAUCUCCAAUGAAAUGCUCCCAGAGUUCAAUUGCAAAAUUUCGCAAAAUCGAAGGAAAAACUCUCUUUUUUUUCUUUUUUUUUUCAAUCCUUUUUUCUUUUCUUUUUUUUCAUUUUUUCCUCUUUUUUUUCAUUAUUCUCUUUUUUUUUUCAUUCCUCCUUUCUUCUUUUCCCUUUUUUUUUUUUUUUCAAGUUGGCUGCUGAAGUAUGUACUCCUUUUGAGCAAAUAGCCGAUCCUCCACUUUGCAAUGUAGCAUUAUUGCUCCAUUUUUAUUUGUGAUUAAUCUCCAAAUUUGCAAGUUUUGAAUUGCACUUUUUCCUCGAUCUCAACCAUAAACACCUGCAUAAGGGGAAUUUUUCAAAGCACUUGAAUUUUUCAAUUUUUUUAUUCUUUUUUUUGUGUUUUUUUUUUAAAGCAAUGAUGUAACAAUUAAGAUUCAUGCAAAGUAUUGACUUAUCAAAAUUUUAAAAAUAUAUACUUGAUCUUGGACAUACCCUACAAAUGUAUUAUAAAAUUUUUUGCCUCAAUUUGAACUUAUUUGAUGAAAUCUCACAAUAUAUUACAAAAAAUUUGCCCCAGAUUUGGGGGUUUUUAUUUAUUUAUUUUUUUUUUUUAGUUGCAAAAUAAUCACAUGCAAUGUGAAUAGAAACUACAUUUUUCAAAUGAAGAAUUUAAAUAUCAUAUCCAAACUCAUGUAGAAGAUUCCAUGAUAAAUCCCUCAAAAAUAAGACCAAAUUGAAAAAGAUCUCUUCCUUAUUUUGGGAUUGGUGUUGAGGGAAAAGGACCACUUUUCUUAUGAGCUCAUCUUUUAGAACCAAUCAAAUGGAUAUUAUUCAGGAUUUUGAGAUGACUCAGGGGAAUGGUAUGUCAGGAUCUGUCUUUUUUUUUUUUUGUUUUUUGCCCAAAUUGUAUCCAACACAUUCAAUAUCACAUCUUGGUGAAAGCAAAUAGCUUAUCACUCUUAUUUCUUGAGAAAACUCAGUCAACAUAUAAGCUGUAUAGGCUUGUAAUAUAUGGGUAGAAACGAUAGCUAAACAUAUAAGAACAGGUUAUGGCCUUAUGAUCAUGAGUGAUUGGAAGAUUCCUUAGAGGCAAGAUUUUCACUUCAAAUUAUCAUGAAAGAUAAGUCAACAAUGGACUUUAUGAGCUUGUAAUAUGGCUUAACACCGAUAGCUAAAAGAAAUAAACUUUUCAAGGACAACGCACUUAAGAUCGCAUUCGAUCGCAUUCCUUAAAAAAUUGCCCCAAUUUUGGAUUUAAAAUCCGGGACCCCAUUUGACUCUCUCUCUUUUUUCUCAAUCACUAGAGGGAAUUCAGCAUUGGAUGUCUUUGCUUUUUCUUUUCUUUUCAGUUCAUCAUCAUUUUUCACAUUUUUCUUUUCUUUUUUUUUUUUUUACCAAUAUUGAUAUCCCAAAGUCAAUGAUAAAAUUGAAAACUCCCUAAUUUGGAGUGUAGAUGGCCCUUCUUUCUUUUCGAUAUUGAAUACCAAAAUAUCAAUGGUAGAGUCAGAAUCCCCCAACUUGUAAUUCUUUCUUCUUCUUUUUUUUUCACUCGUUUUCUUUAUUUGAUGUCCCUUUCAAAAAAUUUUGAGCAUCUUUGCCAUUUUUUCAAUUCUCAAAUCUCCUUCCCCAGUGUGGGGGUGCGAUCAUGAGUGCUUUUGGAACGAACCACCAAUUUAGGCUCAAAUGAGGAUGCAAAGGAUGGAUAGUGUGUAGAUAGGAGAAACGAUAGCCAAAGUAUCAUUCUUAUUUCUCAUGACAACCAAAGUAAAGAAUAGCCCAUUGGGAAAAUCCACUUCCUUUUGACAUUUGAAAAUUUCAUCAAUGUAGGGUUGUGAUCACCAAGGCUCUUAUUUGAAACAAAAUUGUGCUUGCGAUGGUUCAAAAAGGAGUCUGAAUGAUAAAAACUGUAUGGAUAGAGAAAUGAAAGCCUAAAGCAUCAUCCCAAAUUCCCAAAAUAAGAAGUAAUGUACAUUUUUGCUUUCACUCAGAUGUGGAUUGAAUCUGAUUAGACACCCAGGACAUUUUCACAGUAAAAAAUUGUCUCACUUUGAAACUAGUCAACCAAUGUGACUGAUCUUAGAGGCUCAAUAGAAGUGGACGAAAAAAAAUGAAAAAGAAAAGUGUCGGGGUUGAUAUUCUAUGACAAACUAUCAAAUUUGAAUGACCCCUCUUUAUUUUCGACUGCUCUCAUUGAAUAGUUUAGACCACAAAUCUAGUGUAUGCAAAGAAUUUUGAGAAUUGGACAUACGCUCAUGAAUUUCGAACAAGAGGUCAAAAAAAUUUCAAUUUAGCCUUAUUUCUUAGGAUUCAUCAUGAAAUCUCCCAAUGAGCAAAUAAAGAAUGAGUAUAUACAAAACAAUAGUUGUCUAAAUAAAACUUUAUUAUUCAAAUGUUUGAAAAUUUCUCAAAUAUAAUACAUGUGAGAAAAAAAAAUAUCUCUAAAGAAUACACUUUCAAAUAUAUACACACUUUCUCUUUCUAUCUUUUGAGACAAAAUGGAUUAGAAAUAAUGAAUCAAGAGAUUUUUGAGAUGCUUUACACUAGCAUUUUCAAAUGGAUUUUUCAUUCUCUUUUUUUUUUCAUUUCAUUUUUUUUUUCACAUUGUAGGAUCUGCCCAAGAAUCAAGUAACAUUUGUAAUUUUUCAAAAUUUAUUAGACCCAAAAAUAUUAUCAGAUAUAGGAAAAAUAUUUAUUUUUUUUUACCUUGUUAAAACAACUUUUAUAAAUGCAGGGGAGGGGGAAAAAAUAAAAGCAAAAUACCCAGAGUUAGUAAGCAAAACUGCAAAAUCGGUAUGCAUGUCCUAUGGGAGAGCCCUUUUAUGCCAAGGGUUGGCCUAGCAUGAAAAUGCAAUCCUCAGGGGUAGGCACCAUACCAUACCUGAUGGAUCCGAUCGACUUAUUGAAAUUCGAAUAGAAGACAAUUUUAAAAAAUUUUGUUAAUUGGAGUGACAAGAGACAAUUUGUUCUAACAAAAUGAGGACAAAGUCCGAAUGGAUUGAUUGCUUUGAUUGACACAUAAAGUGAUAUUAAAAAUUAAUUUAGUGUGAAAAGCUUAUUUUUGAAUGAAUUGAAAUGUCUCGACAAGUUUAUUCGAUAAACCAUAGAUCAAAACUUUUAAAAAAAAAGAAUAAACGGGCCAAAUGGAUCAAAUGGAAUUGAUAAUUAGUUCAAAAAUUGAUUAAAUUAUGCUAAAAGUGAAUAAAACUGAACAAGUGGAUUGGAUGAAAUUGAAAAUUUACUAAACAAUUGACUGAAUUAUCCUAAAAAAAAUAAUGGAUUUGAUGAAAUUGAAAAUUUACUAAAAAAUUAACGAUUUAGUCACAAUUGAUUGGAUUGUCCUAAAAAUUGAAUAAGCUGGUAAAAUUAAUUGGAUGAAAUUGACGAUUUAUUUAAAAUUGACUGGAUUGACCUAAAGUGAAUAAAUUGGUCAAGAUGGAUUGGAUGGAAUUGACAGUUUAUUCACAAAUCGACUGGAUCACUAGCCAAAUAAACAGAAUGAAAUUGAUGAUUUAUUCAAAAUGAAAAUGAAAUUAAAAAAAAAUGAGCAAAAUUGUAUGGGUCGAAUGAUCUAUAUAAAAAAAAAUCGAUUCAAUCAUCUUAGAUACAAAAAUGAAAUGAAUGAAAUUGAUGAUUUAUCCAAAUCGAUGGAAUUGUCUGCCCAUUGGUAGUUUCAAAAAAUUCAAUGUGAUUUAUUAGUCUAUGAGCCUUCAGAAAUCAAAAUUUGGCCUUAACAUACUUAUCAUCUCAACGAUGAGGAAUUUGUGAAUUUCUUCAACUUAAUGUCCUUUACGCAAGGGAUUUUUACCAAUUCUGAUAAAAUGGCCAAAAGGUGAUUAUUAAAGGCUCAUAUUCUAAUGCGUAAAAACUGUUCCAUCAUUCUCAAUGCCGUCACACAAAAAGGAUCGAAUCCUACCUUACCUUGUGCACUACCCCUUUGGAUGGUACACAAAAUAUAAACAUGCAAAUCUCAUUGGAUUAUAUAUCCGAGACAAAAGGUGGUUUAUUCCU
rnacentral:lncRNA from 1 species